AACGAACGCUGGCGGCAGGCUUAACACAUGCAAGUCGAGCGCCCCGCGAGGGGAGCGGCAGACGGGUGAGUAACACGUGGGAACGUACCUUUUGCUACGGAAUAGCUCCGGGAAACUGGAAUUAAUACCGUAUGUGCCCUUCGGGGGAAAGAUUUAUCGGCAAAAGAUCGGCCCGCGUCUGAUUAGCUAGUUGGUGGGGUAAUGGCCUACCAAGGCGACGAUCAGUAGCUGGUCUGAGAGGAUGAUCAGCCACACUGGGACUGAGACACGGCCCAGACUCCUACGGGAGGCAGCAGUGGGGAAUAUUGGACAAUGGGCGCAAGCCUGAUCCAGCCAUGCCGCGUGAGUGAUGAAGGCCUUAGGGUUGUAAAGCUCUUUCAGCUGGGAAGAUAAUGACUGUACCAGCAGAAGAAGCCCCGGCUAACUCCGUGCCAGCCGCCGCCGUAACAC
rnacentral:rRNA from 1 species